UUUCCUCUCUGUUCUUUAACAUACCUUUUAUAAGCCCACUCACCAUCUUUCCUUAAGCUAACUGCAUCAAAAGUGACGCGAAUAGUCCCGACCCAGCGCCUUUAGAUAUGAUGCUGAAGGAGACUUGUAGCGUAAAUAACACCAC